CACCCUUGCUGUGGCAUUUAAAUUCCGAGCGCUCCUCCAUCAAGGUGACGCGCAGCCGCCGCCACCUCCUCCCUCUCUCCCUCCCUCCCUCCCUCCCUGCGCCCCCCCCAACAUCUCCUCCCUUGUCUCCAGUCAGUGCGUUGGGGUUUGAGAGCCGGGCCAGAGAGGCAGUGUGCGCCCAGGCGCUCAGACUGAAGCAGCAGCAGCAGCAGCGGCAGCGGCAGGCACAGAGCCGCCGCCGGAGGGGGCUGCUCCUGCAUGGAUUUACGAAGGAAGAGCCUGGCUUGGGCAGGUUUCUUUUCUUGGGGCCUUUGGACAGCUGGGAAAUCCAUCAAACGCCUUCCUUUGUAAAGCGCUGGUUCCCCGCACCACCACUCCCUUCCAAGAUAUGGUUCGCAAAAGGAAUAGUUGAAAGCGUUCAAGAGUAGAAAAAAAAUAAUACUUUUGUUAGUUUCCGGCUGUUUAUGGCGCAAGGCUUGCUGUAGCGCCUUCUGUUUCCACUUUCAUAUGUAGAAACAGUCACUGAAUUGUCCGUUUUGUUCCCGAGAGGAAUAAAGUGUGGGAGUAGAAAUCUGCCUAUCUGUUCAAAGGUCCCCCAGUGCAGAGGCGAACGGCUGGCUUCUUCCAGCAGAGAGAACCCAACAUGGCGAAGGGGAGAACAGCCUGCAAGCGAGAUCCAGCUAACCCUGCGGCCUCGAGAGGAGAGCCCUUCUGCAAAAGCGACAGCAGCACCUGAGCUUGGUUUACAGAAUGUAGCUCCAGACAUUAGAAACAGUCUCUCUCUCUCUCUCUCCCCUCCCACCCUCCGUUUUCCUUUGACAAUAAGUAAAUGCUACUGAGUCAACUAAACAAAAAAUAACCCGAACUAAACUACCUAUGGACUGUGAUGAUGAAAAAAGGCUGGAGAUCUGCAAUCCUCAAGCUAUGGCCUAGAAGGGUGAAUAUUUUUCCAUCUUGGAUAUUUUCAGUGCUCCAGUUCUUCCACUGUCAUUUGGGACGGAUAAAUAUUUAAGCCUUGGCAGCUUUGAAAGCCUAGUCAGAGAAACAGGAAGCCCUGAAGUUUGGAUAUUGGAGAUUUAUAUAUUCAAAACUCGAGAGACUUGGGCAUCAGUUGUUGUUCUCUUUCUCCCUUUUUCUGAAACCAAAUGAUCAUAUCUUAAGUCUGUAUUAUUCAGAAUAAAAACUUUAUUUUUUUUCCAGAAUGUGAGCAGCAAGGAAUGUAUACCUUUCAAAACAAAACCUAGUCUUUUGUUGUUCUUGUUCAGGUUUACACAUUUCCCAUUUAGUUCGAUGUCACAGGCAUCCAUUUCUGUUUCUAUGGCGGCCUGCUUGUUUUCCAGAUUUUAUUGCAUUUUCUU